AACGAGGCCGACCUGCGGCUGAGUUACCUGCGGAAGGAUCAUUACAGAGAUUGAUGCACCAAGUGCAUCACCUCCAACCCCUUGCGAAAACAACUAUCAUGUGUUGCUUUGGCAGUGUUUCCACUGCCAGAGGUUUACAUAAAAUCAGCUGUUGGAUGUUGUCUGAGUAAACUAUAUGAAUUUAAAACUUUCAACAACGGAUCU
rnacentral:misc_RNA from 1 species